CUGCGGCCUAUCAGCUUGUUGGUGAGGUAAUGGCCCACCAAGGCGAUUACAGGUACGGGCUCUGAGAGGAGAAGCCCGGAGAUGGGUACUGAGACAAGGACCCAGGCCCUAUGGGGCGCAGCAGGCGAGAAAACUUUGCAAUGUGCGAAAGCACGACAAGGUUAAUCCGAGUGACUUCUGCUAAAGAAGUCUUUUGCAAGUCAUAAAACCACUACUGAAUAAGGGGUGGGCAAGUUCUGGUGUCAGCCGCCGCGGUAAAACCAGCACCUCAAGUGGUCAGGAGGAUUAUUGGGCCUAAAGCAUCCGUAGCCGGCUCUGUAAGUUUUCGGUUAAAUCCAUGUGCUCAACGCAUGGGCUGCCGAAAAUACUGCAUAGCUAGGGAGUGGGAGAGGUAGACGGUACUCGGUAGGAAGGGGUAAAAUCCUUUGAUCUAUCGAUGACCACCUGUGGCGAAGGCGGUCUACCAGAACACGU
rnacentral:rRNA from 2 species